AUGAGGGGAUCAAGCCUGUGGUCAGAGCCAAACUCGAGUAAGGAGACAUGAGAGAUUCACUUUGAUGAUACAUUCAGAAUUCUUUAUCAAGCUGCUUCUAAAACUAUUAUAUUAAAAUUGACUCUGAACAUAAUAUAGAUCUUCCCUGUUGAAAGGCAAACCCCAAGCCUUUUUCAUCUUCACGGAGGUGUUGUCACAGAAGAAAUCCACUUGGAAUCAGGCAUAUCUUGGUUCAGAUCCCACCUCCACCAGUAUAAUUGUCAUGUGACCUUGGGCAAGAUCCUCAACUUCUCCAUACUUCAGUUUCCUAAGCUAUAACCUCAAAAGAUUGUCGUGAUGAUUGAAUUAACUUUAACAACAGAGUUGUCGUUUAAAGUAAUCCUGGAAGAGCGGCAUGACUAACGAUACUGAUA